CCUUCCUCCCCAGCUGCGUGCCCGCCAGGACCCCGCUCCGCCCGCCCGCGGGAGCCCGGCAGCGUCGGCGGCGGGCGGCGCCCGGCGUGCGGGUCCCGGUCCCCUCCGGGCCGGGGCCCGGCUGCUCGCCGUCGCCCUCCUCCUGCCGGGUUCGCGGUUCGGCCCACGCCUCUCCUCCCGUUCACUCCUCUCUCGGCAGCUCUCCAGCCGUCCCUUCCCGUCCCGUGAGCCUCGCUCUCCCCUCCCCUCUACCGCCCCUCCCGCUCCGUCUCCUCCGCUUUCCUGCCCUGCGCUCCCGGCCUUUCCUUUGUCUUUUCUCGCCGCGGCCCGCCUCCCCACCGCGGCCCGGCCCGGGACGCUCCCCCGGAGUCCGGGUCGGGAUCGGCAGGUGCCGGGGGCGGCCCGUCCCCCCUCCGCUCCACCGCGUCCCCGCGGGCUCGGCGCGGGAGGGGCGUGGGGUCCCGGGCGUCCACCCCCAGCCCACUCGGGUGCAGCCGGGGGCCGCGCGGGGUGUCAGCCGCCGGGGGGAUUACGAUGACUGAUGCGAGGGAAGAGGGCAGCGUGUUUUGUGUCUAAAGAGGGCGGGAUUAGUGCAGAGAAAGUCCUGACCCGGGGUCAGCUGCAAGUCAAACCCUUUCACAAUCAGCGAGCGGAACAGGCCGUCUCCCGGCUCGGCCGCAACAAGUUGGGGGCGGGGAGACGGGAGGCCCGCGCCGAGGCGACUGCAACCGCAGGGCGGACUGCGGGUCGGGCCGAAUCCUUCUCCGUCACCAGAGCGCCCGGCUCCACUUCCUGGGCCGCCUCCGGCGGCUCCCUCGCACGCGAGCCCGGGCGGAGAAGGCCGGAGAGGCCCGUCCUGCCGAGGCAGUUGUGUGGCGGAGGAAUGAGGCGCUAAUCUGGGUGAUAAACCCGCGUAGCUCAUCAGGGAGCGAAAUCCCCAUGGCUCAUCUGGCAAGUCAGGAAAACUGGAGUUUGCGGUGAAGGAUCGGGUCGGGGGUCGGGGGAGAAGGAAGGAGGAGGAUAAAUUUGUCUUCCUCACCAGUCAAGCUGGGAAUUUGCGCUGCAGUAACAGCACGAGGAGCUUUAACAAAUACGAAAAGUGGAUAAAGCACCCAAACGAGUGGUGUAUCCAAAGAUAGAAAAAGAUCAGCUAUUUUGAUAGUGAAAACAAAACAGAAUUGCCAUAUUUUCCUCUAAAUUGGCUUUUCAUCUUUAAAUGUGAAAACACCAACACCAGAGAGAGAGGGAGAGAAGGCAGUGUUUAAAACACCACGAACAGAUACCUCCAAGCGCGCUGCUGUGUUUGCACAGCCACCCUGGGUGACACUGGACUCUCCUGGUGAAUGGGUUCCGGGUUCAAAGCACGUAACCGAUUGCUCCUCCUGAACUGCUAAAUGUAACCUAUGGGGAAAUUUUGUCUGCGGCAGAAAGGCCGGACAUCGUGAGUGAGUCUGAACGCCCCGCAGGUCCCUCGCGAGGACUUCAUUGCCCACAGCCACUUCAGAACGACCGCGUGGGGACAUUAAAGAUGCAGUUUGUGAAGAACAGCAGGGCAUCACAUGCAAAGCCUCGAAAUAGUCAGCCAGUCAAAUCAGUGGAAAAAAUCAGCUUUUGUUAGAUUUUGCAGUUUCAGGAAUUAGGCAUUCACUGCAGAGCUGCAGUUUUGAGAAAUUGCAGUGUCAGGCGUGUUCCCAAUGGGGAAAUAUUGUGAGAGUGUGGAGGAAUGUAAGAUUGGGUUUGACAAUGGGGGGACUGACAAGAGUUAUCACCCAGACAUUGUUCUCUCUCUGCGCACCCCGGAAACGCUAAGUAGAGACGGUAUCUAGUGGCAGCAAUAGUCCUCCACGCUCACAGACGUGGGGAUGAGAGUCUUAGCCUCGAAAAGACUGGCCUCGGGUUUCACAGGAGGAAAACUGGAACGCGUAGGGCACAGAACCUCAUAGGUACAGAACACCUAUAAACAGUAUAGUAGCAGGGUAGGGUCGGCCUGAAGACAUUCCAAGCAGAAGCCAACUUCUCCUUUUUCUUUCUAAGCAACAGAACAGGAGGAAUUCCAGGGAGAAACGACACCUGUGCUCAAAGAAAAGGAAGAAUCAUGGUGAGGAAGUUGAGAACGACCAAGGAAAGUUCUGGACAGCAAUAAGGAAAGGAAGCCGGCAGUGCAGGAAGGCAGGUUGCCUGUGACCAGCCGUGGGCUGAGCCACGGAGGAAGGACUUCAGGCUUCGAUGCAGUUCUCACCCAGCUCAGGGGAGAUACGCAAGGGGCGUUUCAAGUUCGCUAUAAAAAUACUCCUACACAGCCUCUCGCCCGCGGAAGCCAGGGCUCUGUUAUAAACAUACGAUUGCAGUUGAACUGGAUGUGAUUGAAAUGUUUCGGUUGGAUGUAUUCAUGACAGUGACUAGAACAUGGGAACAAGUGGAGAACAUAAUUCAGCCCAAGAAAUACAUGGAGCAUUAAGAAAAUGAUUAGGAACGAGGGGUUACCCGGAAGCUGGAGGUGGACCCAAAGCAGAGGGGGUCAGAGAGGGGUCACAUUGGAAAGACCGAAGCAUGAAAAAGACAAGAGUUUGCAAGGAGCCCUCCAACCCCUGCCUCAGAGAAGUGCUGUGUACUGUGCGCGGUGCCAGGAUCAGAGAUGGGGCGCAACUGUUAGAUCACAUCCUUUACUCGGGCCGGAUUCUUUUAAGCAAGGAAUCCUUUUUAACCUUCCUGUGAACUACGUAGUCCCUAUUGUAGCACAUCUCCCGGGGCUGCCGUACAAAGUGCCUCAGACCGCGUGGCUUCAAACAACAGAAAUGUAUCGCCUCGUGGUCUGAAGGCCGGAAGUCAGACAUCAAGGUGCCUGCAAGCUGGUUCCCUCUGAGGCCGCGAGGGAGGGUCUGUCCCAGGAAAGCAGAGCUAGAUUUCGCUCCUCAAACCUCUUUCUUGUUCCAACAUCAAGUGACACUUGAUUGUACUGAACACUGAGUUUUGAGCACAGUCAAAUGGAUGCAUGUAAGGAGAGUUAAGAGGUAAGAGUGGAAUUCUGCAAAGUCAAAAUACAUUCGAUGAAAUCCAUUUUUCCUGAACUUUUUAGGAGACAAUUAUGGUGUACAUUAGAGGUAUGGGCAUCUAGACGUGAAAAAAGGUUUUGAAUAUACUGAUUUCCUGCAUUUUCUCGUCUCUGCCCCUAGAUUCACAGUUUUAGAUAGCUGUGAAUGCUCACUGAGAAGUUCCUGGUCGGUGGGGUUCUUAUUUCAAAAGAUGAAAUGCUCCAGUACCAGUUGUGAUUGUUUUUAGUUUGCUGUUACGGUUUAAAGUUACCUAUGACCCCAUCAUUUCCCUUUUCAAUCUGAAGACUUUAUCCAUUUGACAUGGGGAAAGGGAAGGGAAUGUAAUUCCUUUUGAGAUGAUGGGAGCCCUUGCACCCCUGAGCAGACUGAGGAGGAGAGAACUGCAACUAAGUCAGAAUCUGGAAGCAUUUCUGCAAAGAGUCCUUCUUCGAAUCCUUAGAAAAGUGAAACUACAAUGACAGCCACCACCCCACCACCACCACGAACAGUAAUGACCAGUAAUGACGAGGUCAGCCACCCAUUGAGACUAAGAUACCUCAAUAUAUACUACCCGCAGAUAGGAAUCCAGCUCAGAGACGUUGGUAAAGGGGCUGCAACGCCCCCGAGAAAGUGGUCCGGGAGUGCGACUCCAGAAGACGAGCACACAAAGCCAUCCUUCUGCUGCCUUAUCGGGAGGCUCGGUGGCAGCAAGGGGACUAUUUCUCGUCCAGAGCCGCAGUCAGGCACUCAGAUGCACCCACAAAAUCAAGGUGCUGCGGCCGGAGAAAACGCUACAGGCCUGCGGUGAUGAUUCCCGGAAAGAACGGAAAUCCAGAUCAAAUCUUCAAAACGUUUGCGCUUGCAGACAAGAAAGGCUAAGUCCUUGUGCGAAGAAUUCAUCAGCUAAAGAGACUCGCAGCAGUUGUGAAGAGUGUUUACUGUGAUGUGCCUGUACUUCACUUUCUCCAAGUGUUGUCUGUUAGGGCCUCGGGCAGGACGGGGAGAAAGAAAGGAUCCCACAUUUCAGAAGACCCGCUUCCAGGCUUGGAGUCCAGAGUCAAAACUGGACAACGUUCAUACAAGGAAUGUGUCCGAGUGUUUCCCGUGUGCCAGGCCCUGUUCUAACACGGAGCCCCCGAGUAACAACACAAAGAAAGAGGCCCUCCCCGACCAGCUGACAGUUACGAUGCUGGGAAGUCCGACGCUGAGGAGGACGGGUUUGCCUUCUGCAACCCGGCCCAUCUAUUGGCUGACAAGGAUUUCCUUUUUUGGAGGGAGCCAGACUGGAACCUCGUUCCCUCACUUGAGAGGGAGAGAGGGACCAAGGCCUGCGAGCAGGCUCGGGGAGGCCCUAGUUUGAGGAGCUACACUCUCUGUAGGACCAGUGGCUCGGAGUACGCCUGUCAUGCUAGAACGGCAGCCUUGAACACAGCAGCUCCAGGCUGCCCGCGCCUCGCGUCCUAGUAUCUGUCCAGAAACGAGCAAAUACAUCUUCCCCACACUGAUGUCGGGGCAGUCCCCCCUUUGCUUUCCCUGAAUCGUCCUCCCUUCCAAAGCCACUGCAAUCCACCCAAGGGGGCCGGGGGUCCUGAUGAAUGGGGCAAGCGGGCCUAGAGAAGAAACAGGACCGCGUUGUUUUCCUGUCCCGAGACGGGGGCUCUUCGGCGUGGCUCCAUCUAAGUCCCCGCUCUAGGACGGUUCAAAGCCGAGAGCCAGCAAACGGCCAGGCCGAGGCUCAGGCGCACUUGGGACGUGGGUACUGGAGCUGGGGAAGCCCCAGCCCAAAGUGUGAAAUCAGAUGAGGUGUUAUUAGUAACUCCCUGGGUCAUAUUUCCUGAAGCUAAACUGGGGGGACGGGGCGGUGAGAGGGAGCCGUUUGCCAUUAAUCUGGGAACAAACGGUCAAGCUCGGUGACUGGGCUUUUCGCUUUUCUUUUCUCACUCUUCUCAGUGCGGGGAAGCGGCGCGCCCGCGCGGAGCGAUUGUGAGGCUCUGCUGGAAUUUGGCAGCCCGUGGGCUUGGAGAGCAGCCCCAUGCUGGCCGCUAUUCAGCGCCCCGCUCUCCUCGAGCUUUGCAAGUUUCACUCAGCCGUGCACUCAAUGGCUUCACAAAGCUGAUUACAAGCUUCAGCGCAUUCCUGAAGGAGCCAAAAGCGACGCAGGUGCAAACGAGCCGAGGGAGCCCCUUAUCCCGGUGACAGAAUGGGACAAGCUGGGAAAGGCUUGGACCACACAAAUCCAAGCGCACCAGGCAGCAGAAAGCCUGCCUUGGGAACCGGGGGUCAUUAUCCGCCCUAUUCAGCGGGGCCCGGGGACCCUGGGGGCCCGGAAGGCCAGCUCGCGAGGGAGAGCCGGCGGCCGUGGGGACCCCGACGGGCCUGCGGCUGGGCUGGGACGCUGGCCGCCCGCGACUUGUGCAUUUGCACCGAUGGCGCCAGUGAAAUCCGUGCUCGGACAGGCCCGGGUCAACACCAGUAGGGACAGAGGACGCAGCCCGGUGUGUGGACUGCGCGCAACCUUUGUUCAACCAGCGUCCAGACCGCACCGCCCUGUCCCUGUCCCAGCCUGGCGCUCCGGGGCCCGGCCACUCCCCCAGGCUACCGACCGUCAGCUCCGAGGGUCACUCUGCGCCCUUUCUCCCCCAGCCCGCCUUCCCCAUCUGUCCUCGUGGCAGCCGGGUCCUGCGUAGGGCGACCCCGACGCCGUAAGGUGGCAGGGACAGUGUCCGCGCGGGGAGUCAGGAUGGCGGGUCACCGGGCCGCCCUGUCGGAGCGCGCUCCCCGUGGCCUAGGAUGCCUGCGCCGCGAGUCGGACUCCACGGCGGGGAGGAGGGCCGGCCCCCCUCGGGGGAUGAAUGACGUCCCCGGCUGCGCUGGAGGACUGAAAACCAGGGCCGCGGGCGGCGGAGAGAGAAGGGCAGCGCCGUGGGGAACGCGCGUGAGAGGAGGG